rnacentral:misc_RNA from 1 species
GCCAUAGGCUCCAAAAAUGACAGCUAUGACGUCACUUGCCCGUUUCCCGAGUGUGCAGUAUGGCAAAGCGUGGCCUUCGAGAUGGGCUUCCAUUACUCUUUGAGGGCUGCGACUUGAACACCACAAAGGGGGUAAACGAAUAACCCAACCUGAACGAGCCACAACCGAUGCAGCCGUUGGACUACGAAAGACCAUGCAGGAGCCCCAAGCAGCUUCUUGUUGUUUUACGACCAGAUAGCACUUGCUUACAUUCUGUGUACUUAUGAAAGUUACUAAGGCACAAGCUCCCAUGCGACCGUGGCUAAUAUUGCGGGUCCACUGUGGACUCUGACCUGUGAGAUGCAGCGUGAACUGUUUUUAGUGAUUUCUAUUAAACAACACAGUACUACUUUUGUACUCUU